rnacentral:rRNA from 1 species
CCCUUAGAUGUUCGGGGCCGCACGCGCGCUACACUGAAGGAAUCAGCACGUCUUUCUCCUUGUCCGAAAGGACUGGGUAACCCGCUGAACCUCCUUCGUGCUAGGGAUUGGGGCUUGUAAUUCUUCCCCAUGAACGAGGAAUUCCCAGUAAGCGCGAGUCAUAAGCUCGCGUUGAUUACGUCCCUGCCCUUUGUACACACCGCCCGUCGCUACUACCGAUUGGAUGGUUUCGUGAGAUCCUCGGAUUGGUCCCGGAGCGGCCUCUGGUCGUGCCGGAGUGCCGAAAAGAAUGUCGAACUUGAUCAUCUAGAGGAAGUAAAAGUCGUAACA